rnacentral:rRNA from 2 species
UGGGGAAUUUUCCGCAAUGGGCGCAAGCCUGACGGAGCAAUACCGCGUGAGGGAUGACGGCCUUUGGGUUGUAAACCUCUUUUAUCAAGGAGGAAGUUCUGACGUGUACUUGAUGAAUAAGCAUCGGCUAACUCCGUGCCAGCAGCCGCGGUAAGACGGAGGAUGCAAGUGUUAUCCGGAAUCACUGGGCGUAAAGCGUCUGUAGGUGGUUUAAAAAGUCUACUGUUAAAAAUUGAAGCUUAACUUCAAAGAUGCCGUAGAAACUUUUAAACUCGAGGAUGGUAGGGGUAGAGGGAAUUUCCAGUGGAGCGGUGAAAUGCGUAGAUCUUGGAAAGACCACCAAUGGCGAAGGCACUCUACUGGGCCAUUACUGACACUAAGAGACGAAAGCUAGGGGAGCAAAUG